CGGAGAUCUGUUAGGAGACAAGGUUUGAUAGAAUCGGCGAGGUUUCUGAGUUGUGCGAGUAGCGGACGUGUGAUGAGGGAGCCGUCUAUGCUUGUGAGGGAGGCUGCGGCGGAGCAGCUCGAGGAGAGGCAGAGCGAUUGGGCUUAUUUUAAGCCUAGACAUUCACGGUCUUUGUCGGCGACUUUACAGCCUAGACAUUCACGGUCUUUGUUGCAAACAUCGUCUUUCUUCUCAUUUGAUUCAUUGCCGCUAUUAAAUUCAGCCGCCGAUUUUGGUGUUGAUGGAGGAGAAGUUCCGUUUUGGUGUCGAUUGAGGUUUAAGAUUGGUCUAAUUUGGUGCAGGAAUAACCGAGAGAAGGCUUUGUACAAUUGAGAUGGAAUCAAAACGAUUGGUUUGGCGCAAUUCCAGGAGCGUUGAAGGAGCUGCAAAUACUAUAACUCACUUCCACCAAUAACCAAGGUUUUACAUGUUUCAGUUGAUUGAUAAUGUGCAUGUUGGUCUAAACGAUUCUCUUUUACUUUGCAUUCUUCUGUUGGAUUGUGGCUUAUGUGUUUUGUUUUCCUUGUUGUUCAUUUUUUUUCCAGACCUUCAUAAAAGGGAUUUGACUGAAUGGGAGGAAAUUCAAUGAAGAUGUUGCAAAUUACGUGUAUGUUUGAUUUUUGCAAUCAUAUUGUUGAAAGUUUUCUUUGUUUUUAUAUCGUGUAAAGAGUUUAUGCAUAUUGUGAUAAUUAGAUAUAAGUUAAUAGAUCUCAGAUUGGCUGGCCUGCAACUGCUCAUUGGGCUGUUUCAAAAUAGACAAAGGAGUUAAAGUGAAGCCAAGAAAGUCGUUUACUCUUAAGGCUACUAAAGCAACAAGAAUACGAAGACGUCACCUGUCCCAUCUUAAUAUACAUGGCCAAUGCAAGAAGAUGAGCAAGCUUGGAUGGGUUAUAUCUCAAGAAGUUAGUUUAUCCUUAUGAUGUUAGUUUUAUUUUGGUUAAGACU